ACGCCCUUAGUUCAGUGGUAGAACGUCGGUCUCCAAAACCGAAUGGCGGGGGUUCAAAUCCUCCAGGGCGUG
rnacentral:tRNA from 2 species